rfam:Dipodomys ordii contig_6576, whole genome shotgun sequence.
GGGAAGUUGGCUCAGGGGUAGAGUGCUUGCCUCUCAUGCAUGAAGCCCUGGGUUCAAUUCCUUAGCACCCCA